CGAAUUCCUAUAGAUGGUCGAGUAUGUGAAUCCUUUGGCCUAAACCCAUCCCUUCCAACUUCAUUAUCUGUAUCAUUAUUGAUUUAAGCAUCGAAGGAUGUUUUGGAGGUGAAACUCUAGUGCCCUUUCACUUUUUUCUUUCUUUUUGUAGACUUAUCCAACCCAUCUACAAGCUAAAAAUGACAUUAACAUUUAACACCGUUUGUGGGAAACUUGUACACGAAAGUCAUGGAUUUCUGACCAAACAGUCAACCUUACCCACAACCGAAGCUCAAAUCCAACAGUCUUCUCUCGUAAUGACGAAUCCAACGACCCCCAAAGCGAGCAGCCUGCUGGUCACAUCAGGACCACUUGACACCAAUAAUAUGUCGUGAACAUUCUCGCAAUUAGCAACAGCUAACACCACACCUCAAACUCUUGGCACCUGAGCUUUAUUCCCAGUGUGCAUCACAAUUAACAAACAACUACAACACGACCUACAAGACAUGUUAUCCUUAACAAAAGUUCAGCCUCCGCCAUUGAGCCCUUACAAGGACAGCUACAUAAAGCGCAUACCUAAAAGCAUAGGACAGAAGGGCGUGUCAACCCGAAGCAAUGGAUAUGGCUGAACAGGUU
rnacentral:lncRNA from 1 species